AUAGAGGAGGUGGUGGUGUUCCAAUAGGUGCCCAGGACUGCGGGGAUGAUGGAGGUGACCAGGACGGCUGAGAUGAUGGAUGUUCUGGAGGAGACGUCGGAGACGUCGGAGGCGGUGGAGGUGUGCAGAGACGCUGGUGGUGGUGGUGGUGAAGAGCAAUGGCUAAAGACCUAGAUGGAUGAGAUUUGGAGCAGGACUUCUGAUGGGCUCACUGGAAGGACCAACUGGGAAGACGGAGGGUUGCAUUGAUCUGACGCUGAUGCUGAAAAAUGACAGCUGACAGUAGCAGAAAAAGGAAGCAAUGACAACAAGGAGAUGAUUGGCUGACAGAGGUCCUGGCAAAAUCUGAUUGGUUUAACUGAAAGAGUCAACGCCCUCAGUCAGCUGAUGAGUUGAAACAGGAACAGACACAGACAGAGAGAGGCAGAGUAAAUAAUAAACAGAGUAAGCAUGAAGAUAGUCAGUCUUCCUGAUUGAACUUAGGCCAAGGUUCAUGUGUGACCUAUUUGUAAAAUUUAAAGCUGCCUUAUUUCAUUUCUUUUGGGGCCACUUGGGAGCAUUACAACAAGUUGUUAAUACAAUAUUGACAUAUUAUCACCUUAUAAAGUUGUAUAUGGCGAACGUGUUAGAAAACAGCAAAGCAGACACAGAGGAACAUUAGCAUUCAUUAUUGCACAUAAUAUAAGUGCAUAUUGUAAGUUAUUUUUCCUCUGGCAUUUUUGGCAGUUACCAAACAACUUCAGGUGUAAUACCAACACCCUCUGGAAUGGAGGAAGGCUUACCCUGAUUUGCAUAUAGGCUGAGAAAACCAAGACAAAUUGCAAUAAGCAGCAUGUAACUAACAGAGACACAUGAAUGUGUAUAAAUGAAAGGGUAUUAAAUCAUAUCUGGAUCUAGAUAUGAGACAUGUGCAAGAACAAAGUGUAUGUGGGGCCUGAGUCUUUAGCAGCUAAAUGUUCCACCAUCACAAUCCACACUGCAGAACCAAACCAAUGAGCUAAAAGAGGCUAAAAACCUUGGUAGAAGUGAGGGGAACUACAGAGGGGGAAUUAAAUGAUACACAUAUACCAUAAUUAUAUAAUUGUCUUAUUGAAUGUAAUACUGCACGGACGUAGAAAAUUCGCAUAAAAAUAACAUCUGUGACUGAACUCUUGGUUAUUGUAUGGUGUAACUUUACUGUAUGUUUAUUGAUGUUGCAUGUUGAGUGUGGCUGAAUGACCAGAAGGCAUUGCCCUGUUUUAAUGCUUUUCUAUUCUACAAGCCAAAUGUAAAAUGGGUGACUUGAAACUAAAUUAGGUAUUUGUAAACUCACAUUUUAUGAAUCGGUUUCAGUGUGCUUAUAGCCCCAGUAACCUGCACUGCAGAUUACUGGGGCUAUACUGGGGCUAUAAAACCAUGUCACAGAUUAGAUUAUUACUAUAUCCUCUGGAAUAAAACUAAAGACAUAAAUGUUUCUUGUGUUGUCAAUAAUAUAUUAAUAAAACAAUGUAUAUAAAUAUGUUGUUUUUUUUAAAGUGACAGGAUUUCUUUUGCAGAAGCAGAGCAAGUGACACAUCUCACUCCUGGGGACCCAAAAGUCUUUCCAUUACCUCAAGAGAGUCCAAGUGCAGAAUUCACAUGUUAAGACCUCAGGAGACCUUCUCAUAGGACUUUACAAAGCCAUAACAAAAUGUUGUUUGUCAUUUAAUAACUGAGGGCCUAUCCCAAAUGAAUAGCUAAAUAUUGUUUCUUGUAGUGUGUGUCACAGUCUGUCAUGUUCUCUCCACCACAUCACAGUCACUCUGCACUCCCUCACCUGAGUAUUAAUUCCCAGCACCUGUCACCCAUCGCACACCUGCACAUAAUCAGCCACUCUACUCCCUAUAUAACCCAGCUCCUCACCUCAGUCAGGGUCCGGUCUCGUUCUUACGAAGGACAGAGCAUCGCAGUUUACCUACGAAUGUUACACGGACUUACCUUCAACGCAACGUUGAGAAAUAACUACCACUUGGAACCCUGAACCCCGACUCCCGUCUGUCUCCAGUCCCCUGAGUGUGUUGCUCCAGUUCCCGGCUCCCGUCUGUCUCCAGUCUCCUGAGUGUGUCGCUCUCACUUCCGGCUCCUGUGUGUCUCCAGUCUUCUGAGUGUGUCGCCCCAGUGCCCACACUCUUCCAACAGCAGUGAAACAAGGACAGUAUCAAUACCAAUCUAUAUUACUUCUGUGUUGCAAUAAACUCUCUCAGUCUCCUUA